AUAUGGUCAAGUGAAGAAGCGCAUACGGUGGAUGCCUUGGCAGUCAGAGGCGAUGAAAGACGUGGUAGCCUGCGAAAAGCUUCGGGGAGUCGGCAAACAGACUUUGAUCCGGAGAUGUCUGAAUGGGGGAACCCAGCCAUCAUAAGAUGGUUAUCUUGUACUGAAUACAUAGGUGCAAGAGGCGAACCAGGGGAACUGAAACAUCUAAGUACCCUGAGGAAAAGAAAUCAACCGAGAUUCCCUUAGUAGUGGCGAGCGAACGGGGACUAGCCCUUAAGUGGCUUUGAGAUUAGCGGAACGCUCUGGAAAGUGCGGCCAUAGUGGGUGAUAGCCCUGUACGCGAAAAUCUCUUAGUCAUGAAAUCGAGUAGGACGGGGCACGAGAAACCUUGUCUGAAUAUGGGGGGACCAUCCUCCAAGGCUAAAUACUACUGACUGACCGAUAGUGAACUAGUACCGUGAGGGAAAGGCGAAAAGAACCCCGGAGAGGGGAGUGAAAUAGAUCCUGAAACCGUAUGCGUACAAGCAGUGGGAGCCCACUUUGUUGGGUGACUGCGUACCUUUUGUAUAAUGGGUCAGCGACUUAUUUUCAGUGGCGAGCUUAACCGAAUAGGGGAGGCGUAGCGAAAGCGAGUCUUAAUAGGGCGUCUAGUCGCUGGGAAUAGACCCGAAACCGGGCGAUCUAUCCAUGGGCAGGUUGAAGGUUGGGUAACACUAACUGGAGGACCGAACCGACUACCGUUGAAAAGUUAGCGGAUGACCUGUGGAUCGGAGUGAAAGGCUAAUCAAGCUCGGAGAUAGCUGGUUCUCCUCGAAAGCUAUUUAGGUAGCGCCUCAUGUAUCACUGUAGGGGGUAGAGCACUGUUUCGGCUAGGGGGUCAUCCCGACUUACCAAACCGAUGCAAACUCCGAAUACCUACAAGUGCCGAGCAUGGGAGACACACGGCGGGUGCUAACGUCCGUCGUGAAAAGGGAAACAACCCAGACCGUCAGCUAAGGUCCCAAAGUCAUGGUUAAGUGGGAAACGAUGUGGGAAGGCUUAGACAGCUAGGAGGUUGGCUUAGAAGCAGCCACCCUUUAAAGAAAGCGUAAUAGCUCACUAGUCGAGUCGGCCUGCGCGGAAGAUGUAACGGGGCUCAAACCAUGCACCGAAGCUACGGGUAUCACUUAGGUGAUGCGGUAGAGGAGCGUUCUGUAAGCCUGUGAAGGUGAGUUGAGAAGCUUGCUGGAGGUAUCAGAAGUGCGAAUGCUGACAUGAGUAACGACAAUGGGUGUGAAAAACACCCACGCCGAAAGACCAAGGUUUCCUGCGCAACGUUAAUCGACGCAGGGUUAGUCGGUCCCUAAGGCGAGGCUGAAAAGCGUAGUCGAUGGAAAACAGGUUAAUAUUCCUGUACUUCUGGUUAUUGCGAUGGAGGGACGGAGAAGGCUAGGCCAGCUUGGCGUUGGUUGUCCAAGUUUAAGGUGGUAGGCUGAGAUCUUAGGUAAAUCCGGGAUCUUAAGGCCGAGAGCUGAUGACGAGUUGCCAUUAGGCGACGAAGUGGUUGAUGCCAUGCUUCCAAGAAAAGCUUCUAAGCUUCAGGUAACCAGGAACCGUACCCCAAACCGACACAGGUGGUUGGGUAGAGAAUACCAAGGCGCUUGAGAGAACUCGGGUGAAGGAACUAGGCAAAAUGGCACCGUAACUUCGGGAGAAGGUGCGCCGGUGAGGGUGAAGGACUUGCUCCGUAAGCCCAUGCCGGUCGAAGAUACCAGGCCGCUGCGACUGUUUAUUAAAAACACAGCACUCUGCAAACACGAAAGUGGACGUAUAGGGUGUGACGCCUGCCCGGUGCCGGAAGGUUAAUUGAUGGGGUUAGCUAACGCGAAGCUCUUGAUCGAAGCCCCGGUAAACGGCGGCCGUAACUAUAACGGUCCUAAGGUAGCGAAAUUCCUUGUCGGGUAAGUUCCGACCUGCACGAAUGGCGUAACGAUGGCGGCGCUGUCUCCACCCGAGACUCAGUGAAAUUGAAAUCGCUGUGAAGAUGCAGUGUAUCCGCGGCUAGACGGAAAGACCCCGUGAACCUUUACUAUAGCUUUGCACUGGACUUUGAAUUUGCUUGUGUAGGAUAGGUGGGAGGCUUUGAAGCGUGGACGCCAGUUCGCGUGGAGCCAACCUUGAAAUACCACCCUGGCAACUUUGAGGUUCUAACUCAGGUCCGUUAUCCGGAUCGAGGACAGUGUAUGGUGGGUAGUUUGACUGGGGCGGUCUCCUCCUAAAGAGUAACGGAGGAGUACGAAGGUGCGCUCAGACCGGUCGGAAAUCGGUCGUAGAGUAUAAAGGCAAAAGCGCGCUUGACUGCGAGACAGACACGUCGAGCAGGUACGAAAGUAGGUCUUAGUGAUCCGGUGGUUCUGUAUGGAAGGGCCAUCGCUCAACGGAUAAAAGGUACUCCGGGGAUAACAGGCUGAUACCGCCCAAGAGUUCAUAUCGACGGCGGUGUUUGGCACCUCGAUGUCGGCUCAUCACAUCCUGGGGCUGAAGCCGGUCCCAAGGGUAUGGCUGUUCGCCAUUUAAAGUGGUACGCGAGCUGGGUUUAGAACGUCGUGAGACAGUUCGGUCCCUAUCUGCCGUGGACGUUUGAGAUUUGAGAGGGGCUGCUCCUAGUACGAGAGGACCGGAGUGGACGAACCUCUGGUGUUCCGGUUGUCACGCCAGUGGCAUUGCCGGGUAGCUAUGUUCGGGAAAGAUAACCGCUGAAAGCAUCUAAGCGGGAAACUUGCCUCAAGAUGAGAUCUCACUGGAACCUUGAGUUCCCUGAAGGGCCGUCGAAGACUACGACGUUGAUAGGUUGGGUGUGUAAGCGCUGUGAGGCGUUGAGCUAACCAAUACUAAUUGCCCGUGAGGCUUGACCAU
rnacentral:rRNA from 1 species